GAUGAACGCUGGCGGCGUGCCUAAUACAUGCAAGUCGAGCGAACAGACGAGGAGCUUGCUCCUUUUACGUUAGCGGCGGACGGGUGAGUAACACGUAGGUAACCUACCUAUAAGACUGGGAUAACUUCGGGAAACCGGAGCUAAUACCGGAUAAUAUUUCGAACCGCAUGGUUCGUUAGUGAAAGAUGGCUUUGCUAUCACUUAUAGAUGUACCUACGCCGUAUUAGCUAGUUGGUAAGGUAACGGCUUACCAAGGCGACGAUACGUAACAGACCUGAGAGGAUGAGCAGCAAAACUGGAAAUGAGAAAAGGGACAGAAUCAGAAGGGAGGCAGAAGGGGGGAAGAUUGGAGAAUGGGAGAAAGGCUGAUACAGAAAUGAAGAGUGUGUGAAGAAGGUAUUAGGAUUGUAAAGAACUUUAAGGUGGGAGGAAGGGAAGGAAGUUAAUAACUGGCUGUUGUGACGUUACCAACAGAAUAAGAAACGGAUAACUUCGUG
rnacentral:rRNA from 1 species